rnacentral:lncRNA from 1 species
GCACCUGUAGAGGCAUAAGUUGCUGGGCCCUGCCACCCCACCCAUCCUCACACCACUCUCGCCUCACCCAGCCUCAUCCCACCCUACUCAUCACCCCCACCCUCACCCCCACCGUCACCCCACUCCUCUUGCUGUGUGUCCCUUGCUUCCCAUGUUUCCCUGUCGCCCAUUGGCUAACUUCCUCCUGCCCUCCUGACUGCACAGUCUGGGCUACCAGUCCUUCCCAAGGAAAGUCAACUUCUGUCCCAUAUCAGAAUCAUGUGCAGGUGUGUGUGUUUAUGUGUGCACACACGCACACGAGCACAUGUGCGUGUG